UCCCUGGUAGUAUAUCGGCUAGUACACGCGCCUGUCAAGAAUCGAUGCUUUCUACGCGCGAAAGCGGGGUUCGACUCCCCGCCAGGGAG